rnacentral:rRNA from 1 species
AAUGCCGCGUGGGUGAAGAAGGCCUUCGGGUUGUAAAGCCCUUUUGUACGGGAAGAAAUACUACUCAUUAAUACUGGGUGGGGAUGACGGUACCGUAAGAAUAAGCACCGGCUAACUUCGUGCCAGCACCCGCGGUGACUGAGCGGGCUGGCAAGGCGCAUA